AACGUAGGGGGCAAGCGUUAUCCGGAGUUACUGGGCGUAAAGAGUGCGUAGGCGGACGUGUAAGUGGGUGGUGAAAGCGCCCGGCUAAACCGGGCGAGGUCCAUUCAGACUGCAGGUCUAGAGGCGGAUAGAGGGGUGCGGAAUUCCGGGUGUAGCGGUGAAAUGUGUAGAGAUCCGGAGGAACACCAGUGGUGCAGACGGCGCCCUGGGUCCGAACUGACGCUGAAGCACGAAAGCGUGGGGAGCGAACGGG
rnacentral:rRNA from 1 species